CUCAAUCCUGAGACUCUCCUUUCUCUUUGAUGGCGUGACUCUGUUGGUUAAAUUUGGUAAUUUUCUUUUUUUUUUUUCCUUUUAAUUUUUGAAACUUUUGAUGGUUAGAGAUUCCUUUUUGAGUUUUGGGUCAAUGUCUCUGUAUAUUUUUAUAGGUAUUUCUUUCCAUUUUUGUGCUGGAUUUCCCUUCACUUCAAGUAGUCUUCCUUCUCCUUUGGCCAUCGACAGUUCAAAUUCACUUGUGCUUUAUUCGAAUUUGUAGCCGGAUCAAAUUUUUAUGUUUGGGUUUUAGGAUUUCUUUGAGCUUAAUAUUUUCUUUAUUUUUUUAGAUUUUAAUUUUUCUAACCGUUGAGCUUAUUGGGCUUGUAACUCGCAAUAAAUUAAUAUCUUUGAGAAAAAAAAAUCUUGUCAUUCAAUUAAGCCAUAAAUCAAGACCAUAUCCCAACUGAUUUUGACUAGUGUAGACCAGGAUAGCCUAUCUAAAAAAGCAUAGGGCAUCUCCAAAAGAAACGCAGCAGUUGGGGCUAAAUGAUUGAACUCCCAGUACCUAAAAGCGAAAAAAAGAAAAAAGGAAAAGUCAGAUAUGUGCUCCACAAAUAUUUUAAUUCAAUGGAAACACUGAUAUUUACAAAUUAAGAGAGUGAAGAAUAGUAAUGUUUAAUUAUCCAUUGUUACUACUAAAACAAUCAGUAUUAUCUAAAAGAUGGAAUUUAAAUAUGGAUACCAUGAAUGGGACCCAUUUGGCCUUAGAUGGGUAAAUGGUGAUUGUUAAUGAUAGCAAACGGACACCCACCUGCCCCUAAAAGUACACACCAACGCCCUUUAGUCUAAUCACUAUCAACACAUAACAACGUUUCCAACACCAAUCAUACAAUACCCAUUCAAUUUUAUAUAUUCUUAAUCUUAAUUUUAGUAAACUGUUUCUAUCAGACAAAGUCUCGGUCAUUACACUACGAAACAGACACUCUGCUAUUUAUCAAAGACAUGUCGAUGGUCG
rnacentral:lncRNA from 1 species